GUAGUAUUCCCUUCGUCCCAAAAUUCUUGUCUUACAUUUGUUUAGAUACGGAUGUAUCUAACACUAAAAUGUAACUAGAUACAUCCGUAUUUAGACAAAUUUAAGACAAGAAUUUUGGGAUGGAGGGAGUACAAA
rnacentral:pre_miRNA from 1 species